GACGAACGCUGGCGGCGUGCCUAAUACAUGCAAGUCGAACGCUUCUUUCCUCCCGAGUGCUUGCACUCAAUUGGAAAGAGGAGUGGCGGACGGGUGAGUAACACGUGGGUAACCUACCCAUCAGAGGGGGAUAACACUUGGAAACAGGUGCUAAUACCGCAUAACAGUUUAUGCCGCAUGGCAUAAGGGUGAAAGGCGCUUUCGGGUGUCGCUGAUGGAUGGACCCGCGGUGCAUUAGCUAGUUGGUGAGGUAACGGCUCACCAAGGCCACGAUGCAUAGCCGACCUGAGAGGGUGAUCGGCCACACUGGGACUGAGACACGGCCAAGACUCCUACGGGAGGCAGCAGUAGGGAAUCUUCGGCAAUGGACGAAAGUCUGACCGAGCAACGCCGCGUGAGUGAAGAAGGUGUUCGGAUCGUAAAACUCUGUUGUUAGAGAAGAACAAGGACGUUAGUAACUGAACGUCCCCUGACGGUAUCUAACCAGAAAGCCACGGCUAACUACGUG
rnacentral:rRNA from 1 species